UACGGAGGGUGCAAGCGUUAUCCGGAUUCACUGGGUUUAAAGGGUGCGUAGGCGGGCAUUUAAGUCAGUGGUGAAAUACCUGAGCUUAACUUGGCAACUGCCAUUGAUACUAUAUGUCUUGAAUGUCGUGGAGGUUAGCGGAAUAUGUCAUGUAGCGGUGAAAUGCUUAGAUAUGACAUAGAACACCAAUAGCGAAGGCAGCUCACUAGGGGUGGAUUGACGCUGAGGCACGAAAGCGUGGGGAUCAAACAGG
rnacentral:rRNA from 1 species